rnacentral:rRNA from 1 species
UACGAGGGGGGGCGAGCGUUUGUUCGGAAUUAUUGGGCGUAAAGGGUGCGUAGGCGGUUUGGUAAGUCUGAUGUGAAAUCUAUGGGCUCAACUCAUAGUCUGCAUCGGAAAACUGCCGGGCUUUGAGUAUGGGAGAGGUGAGUGGAAUUCCUGGUGUAGCGGUGAAAUGCGUAGAUAUCAGGAGGAACACCUGUGGCGAAAAGCGGCUCACUGGACCAUAACUGACGCUGAUGCACGAAAAGCUAGGGGGAGCAAAACAGG